GAUGAACGCUAGCGGGAGGCCUAAUACAUGCAAGUCGAGCGGUAGAGUGACUUCGGUUGCUUGAGAGCGGCGAACGGGUGAGUAACGCGUACACAAUCUACCUUUAAGAGGGGAAUAGCCCUGGGAAACUGGGAUUAAUGCCCCAUGGCAUCACGAGACGGCAUCGUUUUGUGAUUAAAGCUGAGGUGCUUAGAGAUGAGUGUGCGUCUGAUUAGCUAGUUGGUGCGGUAACGGCGCACCAAGGCGACGAUCAGUAGGGGGCGUGAGAGCGUGGACCCCCACACGGGUACUGAGACACGGACCCGACUCCUACGGGAGGCAGCAGUAAGGAAUAUUGGUCAAUGGAGGAAACUCUGAACCAGCCAUCCCGCGUGCAGGAAGAAUGCCCUAUGGGUUGUAAACUGCUUUUAUCUGGGAAGAAAGUCGGGAUUUAUCCUGAUCUGACGGUACCAGAGGAAUAAGCACCGGCUAACUCCGUGCCAGCAGCCGACGG
rnacentral:rRNA from 1 species